rnacentral:pre_miRNA from 1 species
AGCUUUUUGAAUCCGUGCUGAGAUUUCGUCAGACACCAAUCCAUUAAGACUGAUCAGACUUCCAAGACAAGUAGAGCU